AGAGUUUGAUCCUGGCUCAGAUUGAACGCUGGCGGCAGGCCUAACACAUGCAAGUCGAGCGGCAGCACGGGUACUUGUACCUGGUGGCGAGCGGCGGACGGGUGAGUAAUGCCUAGGAAUCUGCCUAGUAGUGGGGGAUAACGUCCGGAAACGGGCGCUAAUACCGCAUACGUCCUACGGGAGAAAGUGGGGGAUCUUCGGACCUCACGCUAUUAGAUGAGCCUAGGUCGGAUUAGCUAGUUGGUGAGGUAAUGGCUCACCAAGGCGACGAUCCGUAACUGGUCUGAGAGGAUGAUCAGUCACACUGGAACUGAGACACGGUCCAGACUCCUACGGGAGGCAGCAGUGGGGAAUAUUGGACAAUGGGCGAAAGCCUGAUCCAGCCAUGCCGCGUGUGUGAAGAAGGUCUUCGGAUUGUAAAGCACUUUAAGUUGGGAGGAAGGGCAGUUACCUAAUACGUGAUUGUUUUGACGUUACCGACAGAAUAAGCACCGGCUAACUCUGUGCCAGCAGCCGCGGUAAUAC
rnacentral:rRNA from 2 species